rnacentral:sRNA from 1 species
UUUUAGCCCCGAUAACAGUGAAAAUCCUUUUAUCCUGAUAAAUAAUUCGGGAGUCUAAUAUCGUUCCGGAUAAAAGAUUGUAUCGAAUAGCGGGAGGGAAG